UCACAUUGCUUCCAAAAAGGCAUGCCACUCAAGAAUUGAUGUCUAAUGUCUUUCUUCAACGUUCGAAGUUUAUGAAUAACAGACGAUGAAUCGAAGAAACAUUCCUCUUAGUAAAUAGAUACCGGGAACAGAUCUCUGUGAAAACACAGCAGAGUUGUUUGUGAGUGUAUGAAGACGCAGUAUCAAGGAUAAACGACUCUAGGAUAAAUAUAGGAUAACACUAUUCUGUGAAGAUAAUGAAUUCGCUUGCAAAAACAACCGAGAGCACGGAAUCUUUUUUCAAAAAGUCUAACACAAAGCCCGAACUCGUUAUAAAACUGCUAAAAUUGGAAAAUGCCAACUUAGUAAAAACGAUCGUGUCUCUGAACACACGCAACAGCCAUGUUGAAAUAGAAAAUGCGAUACUUCGCAAAGAGAGCUCAGAUUUAAGAGAAGCAUUGGAUGAAAGCAAAAGACUUUUGGCAAGUCUUCUUAAACAGACCAAAAAAUAUGAAACAGCUCUAAAAAAGGAACUAUGCGUCAAUACAUCUUCGUCAUAUUGUCAACACAACGGUGAAUUAGUAAAGAAAGAUAGUUCAAGUUCAAGAAACAACAGCAGCUCAUGACGAAUCAUCGAGAAAGAUAAAUAUGACAUUGUUUUAUCAUUUUAGUAUAGCUGACUUGUAUUAUAUGAAAAUGCGCUUGUAGUCGUGUUCACAUUAUUGCAAAUAUGUCUGGUAGGUGUUAUAAGCAGAACUUUUGUCCAAAUAUAUACAUAAAAAAAAAACACUGAAAGAGGUCAUUUGUUGGACCAACCAAAUACUCCUGUCCUGUGCAACAGUUACCAUGGUUCCCAUGCGAGAAAACGUUCAUAUAUGAAUGAAUUUAAUUUCUGAUGCAAUGCAAUUUUUCAUACAGUAGUUUUGGUAAGAGUAUAAUCUAUCACCUACGAGGAUAGCAAAGCAUGCCUGUAUUUGUCAUGUUUCGUGAUUCUUGGCAUAGAAUAGAGAUGAAACUAGAAGAGCCAUGUGACAGUCCUUUGAAGUUGACGCGAUCGCACUGUGAGUUGCUGUACCCUAUGGUUCGCGCCUAUUAAGUUAUAUAACAAUACCCACGGGAGGUAGAAAGAAGGACUGCAUGAAAACUUUUCUCGUAAAGAUAAGAUUUUGGUUUGAUAUUUAACCAUUAUUCAUGUUAAAUAAUGAUGUUGAUUUGAUUUUACUAUCAGUUCAGAAAUGUUGAAACUCUUAUUGAAACCUACUUAAAACAUAAAUGUAUUUUUAUUUGUUGA